UACAGAGGUGGCAAGCGUUGUUCGGAAUUACUGGGCGUAAAGGGCGCGUAGGCGGCCUACUAAGUCAGACGUGAAAUCCCCCGGCUUAACCUGGGAACUGCGUCUGAUACUGGAAGGCUUGAGGAUGGGAGAGGGAUGUAGAAUUCCAGGUGUAGCGGUGAAAUGCGUAGAUAUCUGGAGGAAUACCGGUGGCGAAGGCGGCAUCCUGGACCAUUACUUACGCUGAGGCGCGAAAGCUAGGGGAGCAAACGGG
rnacentral:rRNA from 1 species